AUGGCGUGUGGGAAAACCUUCCGUUAUUGUCACAGCUCUUUCUCAUCCCUCAGGUCCUCCCUUUUCUUUUCCUCACUCCAUCGCUACCAUUCCCCCGCGCAAUCUUUCUCCUCCGCCGCCAGAUCUACCGCUGUCGAGCACGUCGUCCUCUUCAAAUUUCUCGAUUUCACCGACCAAUCCAAGAUCGACGCCGUUAUGUCCGGCGUCCGCUCCUUGGUAUCCCUCGACGUUGUCGCCCACCUUACCGCCGGCCCCCUCCUCCACCGCCGAUCCGCCGCCGCCGGGUUCACCCACAUGCUCCACGGACGAUACCGGUCCAAAGACGACCUGGCAGCCUACUCCGAGCACCCCGCUCACGUAGCCGUCGUCAAGGAGCUCGGCCUCCCAAUCCUCGAAGACAUCUUGGCCGUCGAUUGGGUCGCUGAUCUCGAUGGCCCGAUGGUGCCCCCGCCCGGAUCGGCCAUGCGGCUGACCCUCGCGAAGGCGAAGGAGGGCGCCGAGUCGGAGCUCAAGGAGAUGCUUGCGAAAGCCAAGGCGUCGGCAUCGGCAUCGGCGCCGCCGGUCGGCACGCAGGUGAGUUUUGGGGAAAACUUCUCGCCGGCCAGGGCCAAGGGGUACGGCGUGGGGCUCCUGGCAGUCUUCCCCGGUAUAGAGGAGCUUGAUGCGAUGGAUGCGAGAGAGAAGAAUACGGUGGAUUCGGUGGAGGAGAAGGUUAAGCCGCUCCUGGAGAGCUCCAUUGUGCUUGAUUUCGUGGUGCCGCCACCUUCUACUGGUGAUCUUUGAUGUUUCUUCUUCGACUGCACACUACAAAGGUUCUUUCAAAACUUCAUCUUUUUUGUUACAAUUCAUUAUUUUCUUAGCAAAUUCACUCGAAGAAAUAGUUUGCUUUGCAGAAUCUUGUUUUUGUGGGCGAUAUACUUAGAAUUAUGCUUUCAUGGAAAGAAAAUGUUAGAAAAUUGUUCUGCAAAGGUUCAUGCAAAACUUCAUCUUCUUUGCUACAAUUCGUUGUUUUCUUUCCAAAUGCCCUCAAAGAAAUAGUUUGCUUUGCAGAAUUGUGUACUUGUGGCAUGUGUUCUUAGAAUUAUGCUUUCAUAAAAUGAAAUUGUUAGAGAAUAAAGUGAUUAUUCUUGGAAAAUUGAACAGAAUAUGUAUUUCUACAAAGAAUUAUGUACUUGUGGCAGAUGUACUUAGAAUUAUGCUUUCAUGGAAGGAAAUUGUUAGGGAAUAAAGCCAUUUCUCCUUGAAAAUUGAACAGGAACUGUCUAUUUGUGGCAGAUGUUCUUAGAAUUUGGCUUUCAUGGAAUGAAAUUGUUAGGGAAUAAAGCCAUUAUGCUUAGACAAUGGAACAGGCUAUGUAUUUCUUAGUUUAGUCUAUAGAAUAAAAUAUAUGGAUCAUUUUAUAGGAAUUUUGUUAGUAGAUGAGGAAUAAAUCUACAGACAAUAAAACAUUCCUUCAAUUAAUAAACCUAGUCCUUUGAAACGCCCAAACAGGUGCUGCUCAAACAACCUGUUCCACUAGGUGCAACUCCUUCAUCUGAAUCGUUCCUUAACUUAAUCCGCUCAUUUUGCUCAGCAUACCCUACCGAUCCUAUUCGACCAACAUGAUUGGUUUGUUUAGUCUCUUCAUCCCACUCAAUUCGAUCAAUUUGCUGGACUAGUUCAAUUCACUCAAUGUGCUAGCUUGUGGUGCUGCUUUAAAAUAUGUAAUUUUUGGAGAGCAAAUAAUGUAAAACUUAGUACUAUUGCAGGAUUUUGUGAUUCCCUUGG